rnacentral:rRNA from 1 species
GACGAACGCUGGCGGCGUGCUUAACACAUGCAAGUCGAACGGAAAGGCCCUGCUUUUGUGGGGUGCCCGAGUGGCGAACGGGUGAGUAACACGUGAGUACCUGCCCUUGACUUUGGGAUAACUUCAGGAAACUGGGGCUAAUACCGGAAAGGAGCUCCUGCUGCAUGGUGGGGGUUGGAAAGUUUCGGCGGUUGGGGAUGGACUCGCGGCUUAUCAGCUUGUUGGUGGGGUAGUGGCUUACCAAGGCUUUGACGGGUAGCCGGCCUGAGAGGGUGACCGGCCACAUUGGGACUGAGAUACGGCCCAGACUCCUACGGGAGGCAGCAGUGGGGAAUAUUGCACAAUGGGCGGAAGCCUGAUGCAGCAACGCCGCGUGCGGGAUGACGGCCUUCGGGUUGUAAACCGCUUUCGCCUGUGACGAAGCGUGAGUGACGGUAAUGGGUAAAGAAGCACCGGCUAACUACGUG